rnacentral:rRNA from 1 species
CAGUCGCCACGGUAAUACGGAGGGUGCAAGCGUUAAUCGGAAUUACUGGGCGUAAAGCGCACGCAGGCGGUUUGUUAAGUCAGAUGUGAAAUCCCCGAGCUUAACUUGGGAACUGCAUUUGAAACUGGCAAGCUAGAGUCUUGUAGAGGGGGGUAGAAUUCCAGGUGUAGCGGUGAAAUGCGUAGAGAUCUGGAGGAAUACCGGUGGCGAAGGCGGCCCCCUGGACAAAGACUGACGCUCAGGUGCGAAAGCGUGGGGAGCAAACAGGAUUAGAUACCCCGGUAGUCCCUGUCUCUUAUAU